GCUGGGUAUGGUGGCACACGCUUAUAAUCCCAGCUACUUGAGAGGCUGAGGCAGCAGGAGCUCUUGAGCCCAGGAGCUCUGGGCUAUAGUGCACUCUGCUGGUCGUGUGUCCACACUAAGUUUGGCACGAAUAUGGUGACCUCCCAGGAGAGGGAGGUCACAAAUGGAACAGCUCAAAACUCCGGGGCUGGUCAGUAGUGGGACUGCACCCGUGAUUAGCCACUGCACUCCAGCCUGGGCAGCAGUGUGACCCUCU
rnacentral:SRP_RNA from 1 species